rnacentral:rRNA from 1 species
UACCAGCACCCCGAGUUGUCGGGACGAUUAUUGGGCCUAAAGCAUCCGUAGCCUGUUCUGCAAGUCCUCCGUUAAAUCCACCUGCUCAACGGAUGGGCUGCGGAGGAUACCGCAGAGCUAGGAGGCGGGAGAGGCAAACGGUACUCAGUGGGUAGGGGUAAAAUCCAUUGAUCUACUGAAGACCACCAGUGGCGAAGGCGGCUGACUGGUCCGGUUCUGACGCUGAGGCGCGAAAGCGUGGGGAGCAAACAGG